rnacentral:rRNA from 1 species
CACGUAGGGUGCGAGCGUUGUCCGGAAUUAUUGGGCGUAAAGGGCUCGUAGGUGGUUUCUUAAGUCAGAGGUGAAAGGCUACGGCUCAACCGUAGUAAGCCUUUGAAACUGGGAAACUUGAGUGCAGGAGAGGAGAGUGGAAUUCCUAGUGUAGCGGUGAAAUGCGUAGAUAUUAGGAGGAACACCAGUUGCGAAGGCGGCUCUCUGGACUGUAACUGACACUGAGGCACGAAAGCGUGGGGAGCAAACAGGAUUAGAUACCCCCGUAGUCCCUGAGCGGG